rnacentral:lncRNA from 1 species
AAUGAGAUGAUUUGAAAUAUAGCCUAUGAUCACAUUUUGUCAUCUUUGAUUAGCCCUGUUCAGUUAAGUAGGCUAGUAUUUUCUCCACAGAUUUCACCACUUCACCAAUCAAUAAUCAAUAGGCGUUUUAUUAUGUAAUGCUGUCAGACCCAUAACCAAUCGAAUUUCAAACCCCACCCAUGAAUACCGCUAUGCUGAACAUGUCAAAGGCCAGUGCGUCAAUGUCCUCCGUUUCGGGGAACCAUAUUUAAUUUCAUGUGUAUCAGUUAGCCUAAUGGCGUCAUUUCUCCGAGGUUAGGCUACCGGAAUUGCGUCAUGAAUAUUCAAAUUCGGUUUCAUUCAGUGGAUCCCGGACUCGAACUCUCCUCAACGCCGACAGAUACUAAAGACAACAGAGUGUCCUGAGAGUGUUUCCACCAGUAACGAGUUGGAAAGAAGACCAGCAUUGACAAGCAAUGCACAAGCAUUGAUCAGGCUCAAGAGUCAUAUUGUAGCGGUCAUGUUUUCAGGAGAGUCAGCAGCCCCUUCUGGAGGAGGACGCAGACCCAGGCUCCAUAAAGACCAGGGGAGGCAGGCAGAAUGUCCUGCCCCAGACCCAGCUGCGACACUGUCUGAGCAACUCCUCGUCCUGGAGAUUCUCCUUGAAUAGAAGCCUUCAUACUGGAGACACUGAGACGGAUCGCGACUCUGGAUCCCCUCGGCAGGAAGAGUAUGACAGCACCACCAGGAGAAGGCAGCCUUAGUCCAGCCGAGACAGUAUUGAUUGCAUGGCAGUUUCUUCUCACAGCCUCAUAACCAGCCUCUAAUGCCUCUGUUUAACCUGCCUGACCAGUCUAACCUGGUUUAGCUUGUCUAACCUGGUUUAGCUUGUCUAACCUGGUUUAGCCUGCCGGACCUGUCUAACCUGGUUUAACCUGUCUGACCUGCCUGACCAGUCUAACCUGGUUUAGCCUGUCUAACCUGGUUUAGCCUGCCUGACCUGUCUAACCUGGUUUAGUCUGCCUGACCUGUCUAACCUGGUUUAACCUGUCUGACCUGCCUAACCUGGUUUAGCUUGUCUAACCUGGUUUAGCCUGCCUAACCUGUCUAACUUGGUUUAGCCUGCCUGACCUGUCUAACCUGGUUUAACCUGUCUGACCUGCCUGACCUGGUUUAGCGUGCCUGUGGAAACUCCAGGUGUAGCAGAGCCCAAUGGGAUGAGAUGGGGAGCAUCUAUCUCUCUUCCUGUCUAAAGACUUUCAUUGGCUUCAUAACAGCAGGUAACUGCCUCAAAGCCAUAUAGGCUCUCGCUAUCUCUGGUCAUCCUCUCACUAGUCCCAUGAGCAGUAACCCUACGGAAGACAACCCAGGUAAUGCUGCCAGCCAGGACACACCCAGGUAAUGCUGCCAGCCAGGACACCCACAGGUAAUGCUGCCAAUCAGGACACCCCCAGGUAAUGCUGCCAGCCAGGACACCCCCAGGUAAUGCUGCCAGCCAGGACACCCCCGGGUAAUGCUGCCAGCCAGGACACCCCCGGGUAAUGCUGCCAGCCAGGACACCCCCGGGUAAUGCUGCCAGCCAGGACACCCCCAGGUAAUGCUGCCAGCCAGGACACCCCCAGGUAAUGCUGCCAGCCAGGACACCCCCAGGUAAUGCUGCCAGUCAGGACAGACAAUUAGUCGAUGUUCUGGUUGGUGUGGUGAGGGUGGUAGACCCUUUGUCAUGACCAUUUGUCAUGAUGAUAUUUUAUCAAGGAGAUAUUGGAUAUUAUUAUUAUUUUAAAUUUUUUAUAUUUGGUCGUUUUACACAGAAGAAGCAGUAGCCUAAAUUCAGAACCAGGUUCGCUGUGUGUGGAAAAAGGGGGUGGAGAGGAGGGACCAUGGGGCCAUCACGGACCUCCCUCCCGUCCGUUACCAUGACAACAGCCAUGGAUGGGGGAGCCACAUGUGGAGGGAGGAGAGGAGAUCAGUACAGGUGUUGAUGUGGUUUCCGCGUGGCUUUAUUCAGCCUUGCUGUGAUGACUGUAGGUUACUGGACAUGGAUAGCUGCGGUCAGAACACCUACGCAAUCUCACCAUAGUUUCCCAUUGUAUUCGGAAACCUUGCUUUUCGGGAAUACGAAGUGUAUAAUUUAAUUUUACGGUGGAAAUAAUU